ensembl:lncRNA
GCAGCUUGAGCUAAGCACAAAGGUCAAACCCAGGCCUGAAGGCCUCUGGGUCCCAACAGGGGGGAGGAGGUCUGGGACAUCAUCUCUAUGACGGUGGGUCCGAGUCUUUGGUACGCAGACAACCCGUCAUGGGUACAUGUGCUCCACCCAGACCUUCCACCGAUGAGGGUGAGAGCGAGGUGCCUAUGUGUACACGAAGCCCAAACAUCCCUUAUUGCACGUCACUCGCAUCCUUGUGGGUGGAAGGACCUGGCCCUGUCAACGCAGCUUGCAGAUGGAGACCCUGGUGCCCUGCUCUGCUCCCUAGUCUCCUGCUGUCUCUGAGAAGCAGGUAGGGAAGCAGCAGGGUCUGCCACUGAGCAGGAUUGCAGAGCAUGGGGCUGGGGCUGGUAGCAGUGCAGAGCCUGCACCCAGGGGCAGGGGGCAUUGGCAGCACGGAGCUCGACAGGGCAGUGUCAGGGAGGGUGGGGGUGUGGGGACCCCCCCAGUACCCAAAGAUGUGCAGCCGCAGUAUGCAGUGGCAUCAGCAACAGGCAGGGGCCUUUAUGGCACUCAUGCCCGGUGCAGGUGCCCAGCGGGCCAAGGCUCCUAGGUCCAUUGCACUUUGCAGUGGUGUAGUGAGAACAAGGUGCCAAACAUUCCCUAUAGGCAGCGGGGGGGCACGGCAGCCCUCCUGGCUCUCCGGGGACCUAGCAGAUCUCCUGCGGCUGGAGGGGAGGGCCUGCAGGGGAUGGAGGGUGGGAUUCGCCUCCAGGGGGGAUUGUUCUGCGCUGGUCCGGUCCUGUGGGGAGCGGGCCAGGAGGGCCGGGGCUGCAACUGGACUCCGGCUGGCUUUGGGCAUCAAGGACAACAAAAAAAGGUCCUUUUUCGGAUGUGUGGGGGGCUGGAGGAGGAGCGGGGGCAGUGUUGGACCCCUGCUGGACUGGAUGGGGCAGCUGACGGCUGGCGCCCAGGAAGAAGCCAACCUAUUGAAUAGGUGCUUUGCGUCAGUCUUUCAUCGGUCCCAUGGGACGCCCAUGCCUGCUGUGGGACGGGGAGAUCCGGGUGAUGGGCGUCCCCUGCCCUCCAUGGGUGCUGGCCUCGUGGGGGAGCACCUUGGGGGGCUGGAUGCCUUCGGGUCAGCCGGCCCUGGCGGUCUGCACUCCAGGGUGCUCGGGGAGCUGGCGAGUGUCGUGGCCCAGCCCCUGGCACGGAUCUUUGAGGGCUCCUGGUGCUCUGGUGUAGUGCCCAGGGACUGGAGGGGGGCCGGUGUGGUGCUGAUCUAUGGGAGGGGGAGGAAAGUGGAUCCGGCUGACUGUGGGCUCAUUGGCCUGGCUUCUGUCCUGGGGAAGAUCUUGGAGGGGUUUCUUAGGGGGGCCAUCCUUGGUGGACUGGCCCAGGCUGACAUUCUGGGGGAUGGCCAGUGCGGGUUUGUUGCAGGUGGGUCUUGUUUGACCAAUCUCAUUUCCUUCUGUGACCGGGUGGCCUAUCGCCUGGACGGGGGAGAGGGGAUUGAUGUCAUGUGUCUUGACUUCAGGAAGGCUUUUGAUCUGGUGUCCCAUGAUCACCUCUUGGCCAAACUGGCCAGUUGUGGCCUUGGCUCCACCGCGGUCCACUGCCUGGGGGGCUGGCUCUGUGGUCGGACCCAGAGGGUUGUGGUUGGUGGCAGUCACUCGUCGUGGUGCCCUGUGGCCAGUGGGGUCCCUCAAGGCUCUGUCCUGGGACCCAUACUGUUCAACGUCUUCAUUAAUGAUGUGGACGUUGGAGUCGGGAGUGGACUGGCUGAGUUCGCCGAUAGCGCCANNNNNNN